rnacentral:rRNA from 1 species
GACGAACGCUGGCGGCGUGCUUAACACAUGCAAGUCGAACGCUGAAGCUUGGUGCUUGCACUGGGUGGAUGAGUGGCGAACGGGUGAGUAAUACGUGAGUAACCUGCCCUUGACUCUGGGAUAAGCCUGGGAAACUGGGUCUAAUACUGGAUACGACAUGCCACUGCAUGGUGGUGUGUGGAAAGGGUUUUACUGGUUUUGGAUGGGCUCACGGCCUAUCAGCUUGUUGGUGGGGUAAUGGCCUACCAAGGCGACGACGGGUAGCCGGCCUGAGAGGGUGACCGGCCACACUGGAACUGAGACACGGCCCAGACUCCUACGGGAGGCAGCAGUGGGGAAUAUUGCACAAUGGGCGGAAGCCUGAUGCAGCGACGCCGCGUGAGGGAUGACGGCCUUCGGGUUGUAAACCUCUUUCAGCACGGAAGAAGCGAGAGUGACGGUACGUGCAGAAGAAGCGCCGGCUAACUACGUG